rnacentral:rRNA from 1 species
UGAGGAAUAUUGGUCAAUGGGCGUAAGCCUGAACCAGCCAUCCCGCGUGCAGGAAGACGGCGCUAUGCGUUGUAAACUGCUUUUCCAGGGGGUGAAACUCUCGUACGUGUACGGGAUUGACGGUACCCUGGGAAUAAGCAUCGGCUAACUCCGUGCCAGCAGCCGCGGUAAUACGGAGGAUGCGAGCGUUAUCCGGAUUUAUUGGGUUUAAAGGGUGCGUAGGCGGAUUAAUAAGUCAGUGGUGAAAACCUGCAGCUUAACUGUGGAACUGCCAUUGAUACUGUUAGUCUUGAGUGUGGUCAAGGCAGGCGGAAUGUGUAAUGUAGCGGUGAAAUGCUUAGAUAUUACACAGAACACCGAUUGCGAAGGCAGCUUGCUGGACCAUUACUGACGCUGAUGCACGAAAGCGUGGGGAUCGAACAGGAUUAGAUACCCUGGUAGUCCACGCCGUAAACGAUGAUCACUCGACUG